rnacentral:rRNA from 1 species
CCAUGGAGCUUUAAACUCACUAUACACCUCUGUGCCUUUAUGUCACUAGACACAAGAGAUCUGCGUACUAGUUUUAGGUUGGGGGGACCACGGAGUAUAAUUUAACCUCCAUAACAAAUGGGCUAACACCCUUAUCUACGAGACACAACUCUAAGAAUUACUAAACUAAUGCUUAUGACCCGAUAUUCGAUCAAUGAACCAAGUUA